AAAGCCUCCGACAGCGAGUUUGCAUGGAUGCAGGCUUGAUAAUCUCACUCCACAGGUGUGCAACCGUUUUUCGGGCAUGGAGGAAACAACGUCAUACAAAUGAUGACCUGUUCUGCAAAAAACGCAAUGCUGCCAAAGAAGCAUGGGAGUCAAUCAUUAAGGAACUGGACCUUGGGCAACAUGUGUCUCACAAACAGGCCUCCAAGAAAUGGGAG